rnacentral:tRNA from 1 species
GCAAUGGUGGUUCAGUGGUAGAAUUCUCAUCUACCGUGUGGGAGACCUGGGUUGAAUUCCUGGCCAGUUCA